rnacentral:rRNA from 1 species
UUGAAUUGAAGAGUUUGAUCAUGGCUCAGAUUGAACGCUGGCGGCAGGCUUAACACAUGCAAGUCGAACGGUAACAUAAAGAAGCUUGCUUCUUUG